CCCAAUUCCAUCAAAAUGAAUAUUAAAAUAUUUUAUAUAACAUAUUAAUAUAUUAUAAAAUAAUAUUAAAAUGUCUCCUCACUUCAAAAUCUGUGCUGUUGUUAAUAAAUAAAGUCAUGGAUGGCACUGUUUGUUACUGGUUAGCCAAGUUUUAUCAGUUAAAAAUGAAUGCAUGUGGCAAUCUUACAAUACUUUUUGAAAUCUUAGACGUUUUGCACUUAAUGCAGUUCACCAAAUGUAUCCCUAUAUUGCAGAUAAACCUGCUACAACUGUUCCAGGUUGUAUUUAAGAAAUAUAUCAGUCAGAAUGUCUGCUUUACAGUCUUUACUAAAUUGGGUCCCAUGUUUCCCAGAUUAUAACAGCUACAGCCAUCCCACUAAAUGAGACACACCAUCAUACACACACCUUCCACCCUCUGUGGCUACAAUUUUACUUCUCCUGUUACUCACAUGUCUAAGAAUAAUAUUUCCUUGCCAUCUAGUCUCUGCCUUCACCAUCUGGAAUUGUUGAUUCAUAGCCUGAAGCUUGGGAAAAGCAGCAAAGUAACAGCAGAGAGCAGUGUGGAGUCAAAAUCAUCCAGCGGCCAAGCCAGAGAACCUGCUCAUCACCAGCUGUCAAUUCAGAGGAAAGUAUGCUGUCCAAACAUAAACGUAACUGGAGAGGGAAAAGUGCACUCAUUAUCCUUAAUUUUCUAUGAAUUUGACACGUGGACUAAUGACACUUGACCUGUUUUUUGCUGUUUCAGUCAAAAACCAAAAUGAUUUCCAUUUUUUAACCUGCCAGUAAGCUUAGUUAAACAUGCAGCUAAUUUAAAUUUUUCAUAUAUUCAUUCUGUUUAAAUGCAGUUGUGUUUGGAAACUGGAAGGUCAGGAUAUGCAUGCCAAAAUAAAUUAUGGUACCUGUCAUCAGCGUGGUAAACUGACAGGCAGACUGUGUGAAUUAUGAUUUCAAAACAGCCUGUGCAUGUGCGUGUGCAUGUGUGGUGCAGGCUUUGAGCCUUUUAUUAGGCUGAAAUGGCCCCAUAAUGAAAUUGCGAGGACGUUUGGCUGGUAUUCACAAAACGAACUGCUUUUACUAUUUUCCUUUUUUCUAUCAGUGUGUGUCUGAUAGAUAGCGACAGUAGAGUCAGCAGCCGCAAACAACAAAGCUGCAGCUAAGAAUUGCUUGCUGGAGGAAUGGAAGUGAUGACUAGAGACGAGCUGGAAAGCGAUUUUUACAGGUUAAAACAAGUCGGAUGUAAAAACAUUUUCAAUCAGUUCAUGUCAAAUCACUGGACCAUAACCGGAGCCUUGACAGAUCUUGGAGCUUACUGCUAACAUGCUCUCUUUUGUGUUUGAAUUUAAAUAUGUUCACACCAGUGGAAAAUGCGUCUUCACCUUCAGGAACACAGGAGUAGACGAUCUCUGAGGGGGGGAAAAACUCAUUUCUAAUGAUGUUACUAAUUUGUAGAUACACGUUGUAACAGUUAGGAUAACAAGGAAAUGUCAUGGUUUGCUGUGUGUUUUCUGUAAAUCAUGUUAGUUGUAAGCAGUAGUAUAUCAAAGCAAUGUUGAUGUACACAUUUCUCAGGAAAAGAAAUUAAUGACGCUCCUAGUGGAUAACCUAAAAACAUUUUUGCGACAUUGCCAUCCAUAAACUAUCCAUGCAUGAAGCAGAGCACAUCAUCACUAUGUACUAUACCAUAAAUCAUCACAAUCCCACACUGGGUUGCCAGUUCAAUAAGUAAACAUACCAUACAGUUGCACUUUUGCAGAUGUAAUUACAGUAAUUACAAUUACAGACUAUAGUCCAUCUGCUGAAUUUUGUCAGAUAUUCUGUAAACCCUCCAUCAGUGACCACCACUGACCAGAUACAUUCUCAUCCCAACGCUAGCAUGCCCUAGAACAAGCUAUAGGUAUUCAUUAUAUGAAUACCCCGUGAUGCUGCUUUCUACAUAAUGCUUUGGAUAUUUCACGAUGAUUUUCAGGAAGAUUAGAUUCUCUGUUUGAAGCCAGAAAUUGAGAGCAAUUUGAUGCAAUGCCAGCUUACUAAACAGAGAACUGCAUUUAGACGUGAUAUUUUUUACUGACCUCCCUGAAUAUUAAGCAAAGUGCAAAGUUCAGGAGAUGUAUUUGUAUCAGCACAGCAUCCGUUCUACGUGUUUUCUGCGUCCGUUUCUCUCUGAAUGUUUUUGUGAUGGCUGUAAUUAAUUUGCUCAAUUGUUAAAUUCCUCCUGCAAGAUCCAGGAAAGAGAAGAGUGAUUAGGAGACAGUAUAAACAAGACUAAAAACAAGAAUUCAAGCUGCAGAAUGAUCUUGGAGUAAUAAUAUAUUAUGAUGAUGUUUUUCCUCCUAAAAGUACUGAAAAAAGGACCCAUAUGAAAUGUAGGCUACUUGAGACAGCUGUUAAUAUAUCAAAUUGUGAACUGGUUUGUGGCUCCUUUCAACAAGUCUUGGAUAAUUGGCAAGAUGCUGAAAUAUGCUUGUAAUUUUCUUUCUUUCUUUCAGCACAGUCUUCCAAAUAAAUUAGUGAGGGUUUGAAAGGCAGCUUGAUCCAGGUUCUGUUGUUUUGCCAACAUGGAGUCAAACUGUGAUUAGUAGAAGUGAGAAAUUAUGUCUGUAGGGUAAACACACAUCAAUAAUGCUGUAGUAUAAAUAUUAAUGAAAUAUCAAAUUGAAAUAUUUUACAGACUGUAACUGGGUUAUGGCAGGUUUAUGUACAUUUCACGCACUAUAUCACAUCUCUAAGACGUCUUACUCACAAUGCAGGAGUCAACUUUCCACUUAUUGGAAAAAAUAUUUCGAUAUAUGGUCCAUUAUGAGUAUUGAAAAUUGCUUUCAUGUGUCUGGAAGGGCCAGAAGUGUAUUUUUUUUUUUUUUUUUUUUUUUUUUUUUUAGGAAAUAUAAGACCAACAUGGAAUUUCCAUUAAGGUUUUAGACAGAAUGUCAGUUUUGACAGCUCUGUCAGUUCGAGACAGGUUAUUUUACCUUGAAAUGUUUGGGAUUUGAUACUGAUUUUAUUUGGGAAUAUAUAUGUAGAUCUUUGCAACAGCAUGAUUUCAGUUUCUUAAUGUGAUCAAUUGGAUUUUGAAUUAUUUACAAUUGUUCACUCAACUAAAUUAUGAGAAGUGCUGUGUCUGGGUCGUCAAUAAUAUGUCCAUCUUUCGCUUCCCUCUGAAAGAAAGCUAGAUUUAAUCAAUUAGCUGUUUUUAAUACAAGAUAACCGACUACUGAAGCAGAAACCAAUCCUACCACUGCACAGUUAGCAGCUGGAGGACAAUAGCGAAGCAUGAGAGAAUUUGUUAUGCUCUGUAAAUAUGAAGUCUAUUUGAAAUUGGUUUAAAGGCGCUGAAAAUAUGAAUCGUUGUCUUUCAAACAGUAAAACAAUGUCAAGUAAACUUAGCAUGUUUUUCCUUUGUAGAUAACUCCUUAUGCUCGGACGUGUGAAUUAUUUUUUUUAUCGUUUUAAAUAUAAGCGUUCAUA